CCAAAGGCUCUUUUAAGAGCCACCCACAAUAAAUCAAAGAGUCAAU
rnacentral:ncRNA from 1 species